rnacentral:rRNA from 1 species
AGAAUCAACGCUGGCGGCGUGCCUAACACAUGCAAGUUGAGCGCUUAAGGGGGCAACCCCCAAGAGAGCAGCGAACGGGUGAGUAACGCGUGGGUGAUCUUCCUUCGAGUGGGAACAACAUCGGGAAACUGGUGCUAAUUCCGCAUAAUACCCUGAGGCUACGAGCCUUAGGAUCAAAGCCGGGGACCGUAAGGCCUGGCGCUUGAAGAUGAGCCCGCGUCCGAUUAGCUAGUUGGCGGGUAAUGGCCCACCAAGGCUUCGAUCGGUA